rnacentral:rRNA from 1 species
AGGGUGUAAACGCUGCAGACUUGGUGUUGGAGGCCCUUUGGGGGGCGAUUCAGUGCCGGAGAGAAGUUGUUAAGUCUGCUACUUGGGGAGUACGUCCGCAAGGAUGAAACUUAAAGGAAUUGGCGGGGGAGGCACCGCAACGGGAGGAGCGUGCGGUUUAAUUGGAUUCAACACCGUAAACUCACCAGGGAAGACUGUUACAUGAAGGCCGAGAUGAAGACUCUGCUAGAUUUUCAGAGAGGUGGUGCAUGGCGUCAGUGACUGU